UACGUAGGGUGCGAGCGUUGUUCGGAUUUACUGGGCGUAAAGGGCGCGUAGGCGGCCACCGCAAGUCGACUGUGAAGUCUCCGGGCUUAACCCGGAAAGGUCAGCCGAUACUGCGGGGCUAGAGUGCAGAAGGGGCAACUGGAAUUCUCGGUGUAGCGGUGAAAUGCGUAGAUAUCGAGAGGAACACCUGCGGCGAAGGCGGGUUGCUGGGCUGACACUGACGCUGAGGCGCGAAAGCUAGGGGAGCGAACGGG
rnacentral:rRNA from 1 species